UCCUUCCUCCUCUUCUCCCUCUUCUUUCUCUCCUUCUUCCUCUCUCUUCCCGUGCGCCUCCUUCCCAUUUUCCCCGACCAGCAGCCGCCCUCCCAAGCAGCAGCAAGGGGCUGCGUCACCUUCCCCAAACAGCAACGACCAACAUCUAGGCUGCCUCUGCUCGCGUCUGCUGCAGCCACGACCCCAGCCUGCGCUUCUCCCUUUUCUGCUGUGGAGGCUGCUCUUCUCCCUUCUCUCUUUAAUUCUUCAUAAUAAUAUGGUUUGUGUUUGUGUUAUUUAGGGUUCGAUUUUUUCGAAUUUGUUGGGGUUUCAUUUUUACUAAACUGAUUGUGUUCAAUCCUGCUUCAUUUUUACUCCUGCUUGCUGCUUCUCUGUGCGACUUCAGAGUGUGCCUUCUCCUUCCUCUUCUCUGUGGCGGCACCUAGAUUUUGCAGUUCAAUCUUCCUGAUCUUCAAUUUAAGCUUGUACUGUGUUCGAUUUUCAACUCCAUUAAUGGAUGAAAGUAUGUUAUACUGUGUUCCAUUAAUGGAUGAAGCUUGUAAUGUUUUACAGUGUUAGCCAUAAAUUAGUUUUUAUAUUGUAAUUUUGUAAUAUUGUAAUUUUUGGGUCAAAUGGGUCAAAUGACCUGAAAUAUAUGGGUUCAGGGUUUCAAUUUUUGACCCAUUUAAUUAAAUGGGUCAGGUUCAGGUCAAGGGUCUAUUGACCCAUUUAUAUAUGACCCGAACCUGAAAACGACCCAACCCGACCUGUUUGACACCCCUAAUUAAUGUAAAGAGCAUCUGCAUGUUAAGCAGAAGGUUUGAGGUUCGACCCCUACUGGUACAGGUAUUAACUAGGGGGUUUCUUGACUGCGUGCAUCCUCUUUACUACCUCGUUGAGGGAAACAUGUAUGACUUGUCUGCAUCUUUCAGGAAAAAAAAUACCCCCCACUCGAACCCUGCCUUUUGCGGGAUACUGGGAGUGUCCUUCCUUUUUACUAAAGUAACUCAUUAAAUCAUAUUUAUUUCUUAUUUAUGUAAAGCUGUAAAUGAUUUUUACUACCAAGGGUCAUUUGAAAACAAUAUCUUAAUUAUCUUUUUAUCGCUUAUGACUUAUGAGUAUAUAACAAGAGUAAAAUUGGGUAUAUUAAAUUUCCCUCUCUAACUAAGAGCUUAAUACCAUUGGGGAAAUAAUAUAUGAAAUAACGUCUCGUAUUGUUUAUUUUUUUCCUUCCAUCUUCCCAACUUUUCUCACUUUUAUUUUAUUUAUUCUCUAUUAAAUGACAAUUGAUUCAUAGGGCUUGAAGUAAAUUUUUUAAAAAAAUCUUUGUCCUGUUUAUGACUUGUAGGGGGACCGCGGGAUUUUAAUUUUAGGAAAAAUUAUCAGGAAUAGUAUAAUUUUUUAUUUAUUUUUCUAUAAUAAUAUGAAUUUUUAAUUAACUAUGAAUAAUAACAACUUAAAGGGUUUUUUCUUAGAAAAUCCUUAACAUGUUAAAAAUCAAACUAUAAGCGAUUAUAAGACAAAAAAAUUGGUAAAUAGUUAAUAAACUAAAGUUGGUAUUAUUCUAGGAAAAUAACCCACUAAGUUAGUAUUAUUCAUGGUUAAUCAAUAAUUAGUAUUAUUAUAAAAAAAUUAAUAAAAAAUUAUAUCAUUUACGUUAAUUUUUCCAUAAUUUUAUUAUUAUACUAACAAAUUCCGACAUAAUAUGCUUCCAGGAUACUUAUGUGCAUUAAUUAACAUGAAAUCUAGGUUUCUAGGAUGCACGAUUAUCAUAAUAAUAUUAAAUACUCACCAAGUACCCUAUUGACAACCGGAGCAACGGAAAACUAAAAUAUUAUACUUUCUCAAUUUUGAAAUAUUUGGAGCACGUAUUUAUUGUUCAAGCUUAUUUUAUAUAUUACGGUUAAAUGUGUAAGAAAAAAUAUAAUCAAGUGAGAUCUUGUUUGAAUCGUCUAAUCGUUUACUUUCAUAAUAUAAAUUUUUUAUAAUUUUUAAAUGUGUAUAGUUUAAUAUAUAAAUGAAUAAAAUAACACAGUAAAUUGCGUAAAAAGUCAAAUAUAGCAAGUAUAUUGAAAUGGAGAAAGUAUAUAGUACUCCUAGACCUGGGAAAAUCUGAUCCGACCCGAAAAUGAACCCGGGACCCGACCCGACAAAACCCGAACCCGACCGACCCGAAAGCGACUUAAUCCGAUACAUGACCGACCCGAUAAUUACCCGACCGAAAACCGACCCGUUUUGACAGAUUUAAUAUCAAUUUUUAGAGUAAUUUCAAUGUUCAAAUUCAUUUCAAAUAAAAUUUUAGUUUUCAAAGUAUCUCAACAUAUUGAGUAUACCACUUGAACCCUAAAACUCAUCAAUAGAUCUCAAAAAACACGUAUUUAACGUCUUUUUAGCCAUCGUAAUUAUUUUUCUUUAAAAACAGGACGUUAUAAUCAUCUUAAUUGAAUACAUGUAUCUUGUUAAAUCAGUCAAAUGAGUUUUUAAUUCUUCUACAUUUCAGUAAGCAAAUCAAUAUAAUUUAUACGAACGUUUCGCACGUUUGAAUGAGCUUUUCAAAAAACGAAUGUCGCUACCCUAAAUUAUAAAACGCGUAUCUUAUAAGACGAAAUAAGUACUUAGUUAGUUGUAUAUCUUUCCAACAUGAAAAUUGUGAAGAUAAUUUUAACGUCAUUUUUAUCUAACGUUACAAUUAUAAUAAACAAAAUAACUUUUAUAAAGCGCGUAUCUCACAAGUCUUUCAAAAUAAGUAUUAAUUCCCCUAUAUUUUCUAGCACGUAAAUGAACCUGACAUACCAACUAUUUUUUAAAAAUCGUACAUGUAAUUUCUCUAAUGAUUUUUUUUAGACAUUUUAAUGAUUUUUUUUUUUAUGUUGAAUUAGUUGAUUGGAUAUUCUAAUGUUUUAUGGUAACCCGUUGGGUCAAUCCGAACCUACCCGAAACCCAGAGUGAUCCGACCUGAAACUGACCUGAUCCAAAACUGACCCGACCCGAAAAUGACCCGACCGAAAUUGAUCCGACCCAAAACCCGACCGACCGACCGUUUUCCCAGGUCUAAGUACUCCCCUUUGUUUCACUGAUUUUGUCGCAUUUAUUUUUUUAACAUUAUUCACAGUUUACUUUUAACUUAUAUUUUACUGUUAAUCUAUAAGUUAAAACAUAAUUAAGAAAUAUCGAUAAUUAUAGUACCACAUUUUCACCCGACAACUCUUCUGCUUGCCUGUUCUGUUAAACACUAAGCUAUAUCUCCUAUUUUUACCAAUUUUGCAUUAAAUGAUCUUAUAAAUCUUUCAAAAGAUUCAGCUACAUUAAUAAAUUAACUGUAACUGUAUUUUUAACUAAAACCAAAAAUAAAGUCAGUGUAGGGUUAUUACUAUACCUACCAAACAGUCUUGCAUGGCCUACCUCUAGUUUUGUGAGGUGAUAAUGAUCAUUUUAAUGGUUGAAAUUUUAAAUUAAGACAUAAAUACUGUAAAUAUAUAUAAUUAGAUGAUCGUAAUUCGCAAAAAAAUGCAAGAGUGUAAUUUGUAAAUUAUCCUAUUUUAAAAACAUAUUACAAAAACAUGUAUCACAAAGUCAACUAGUACGAUCAUUAUUGUUUCAAAAUUCAAAAUAUAAAUAAAUUGCUAAAAUUUGAAUAUUAAGUCGCAUUGAGAAGAACCAAAACCAAAAAAGCUCCCAUAGUUUUCACCAAAUGAAGUAGAAGUACAUUGUAAUUUGUAAGUUAUAAAGAUAAGAAUCAUAAAUAGGCUCGUGCAUGAGUGAUAUUACAAAAAUGAAAAAAUAUACUUAGCUGUUCUAUUGAAAUUGUAGCAUUUUGUAAAUCUAUAUGAGAGCUUUUAAAAAUAAAUGUUAAAAUUC